GCUGUCGUGUGUGGCCAGAAAACGAUCUCUUUGCUUAGAGUUAUUUAUAUGAACUCUCAUUUACUUUACCCUCAUUGCAUAUGAUACCACAGUACACAUUACAAUGUGACACAAGUCAUUGAACAACAUAUCUUAGAAAUUCCAACUGUAAAA